CACCCCUCAAGUUCAAACUUCUGGUUAACUUGACGUUGGGCCUUGCCUUGGGGCAUGCCUAAAAAUCAGUGAUGGUACGUCAAACCACGGGCGCAUACAUGUCGUCACGUUGGGGCGAUGGCACCAGUCUCGCGAUUAAUUUCUCCAAA
rnacentral:misc_RNA from 1 species